rnacentral:lncRNA from 1 species
ACACAAGUUAAUCAUAACAAGAAACUUCCAGCGAGAUUUUAAAAGAUUUCCCAUUUGUCCCUGUUACCCUAGCUGCAGUUACAGGCAGAAAAAGUGGGACUACGCCAGACCACUGGGGAGGUUCAUCAAAAUUCAUCCCAUUAGCCAGGCUGUCCUUGUGAAAAGGAAAAUUAUUAUAGCAGGUGUGACUGGAGUGGGGCCAGCUCCCUCCAGCCCUCAACCCCAAACAAAACCUCACCCUGGCAACGUUGAGAGUAUUGCAGACUGAAACUUUUUUCUUAUUCCCAAGGUUAAAAAUCAGUAGACUUUAAAAAAGAUUUUCAGAUUUUCCACAGGAUAAUAAAAUGGGAACCAUAGUGUAAACUGUUUCCUACCCUUGCCCCCAUGACCAUAGCCACUUCCUUCUUUGCCCUUGAAAAAUUCAUGAGUGAUAUUAAAACGGACCUCUAUAGAUAUGUGAUAAAACAAAUAUAGUGAAGUGGUAUCUGUAUAAUCUAGGUGAUUAAUACAGUCACUGUAAAACUCACAUUUUCCCGUUUCCUCAGAGCCUCAGUUUCCCCAUCUGUGAAACAGGAGUAUUCUAUUAGUUGAGUAUUGGAUUAGUUGAGCUGGAAAGCUUUUCCCAGCUGUAAUGUUUUCAAGGCCAGUUCUCCAGUCGUCUUUUAGCUGCAGAAAACAAGAGGGCCUUCCCCAGGCUCUAAGGUGAUCCUCCUCCUCAUCUCGUCCUCUCUAAACUAUUUGUGCUUUUCCUAGCAGGAAAGGACACUAGCUCCACAUUAGAAGGCUGAGGGCAACUACUGUAGGCAUGAGAUCUUGAGCAAUACCAUUACCUCUCUCACCCUCGGUUUCUUUAUGUAUUUGGCGAUGAUAUUAUCCACAUCACAGGCCCAUUGUCUAGAUAAAAUGACGUAAUGAAUGUUAACUCCACCCCUUCAUUGUAAACUGUAAAGCAUCUCAUUAUUUUCUCAAUUUCUCUGAAACUCUUAUUACUUCUUCCUCUCUUUGCCAGAGGAGGUCAUCAAAGAGACUUCUAUCAGAAUCGAGGCCGGCUCCCAAAAGGCCAAAUCCACCUGUCCUACAGAGCAGCCAGCCAAGUCAGUGACAUUUCAUGACUAGCCCCCAGGGUCCUCUCCCUGGUGAAUUACUCCGUGCUUGCCUGAGAGCCUGUACACGCACUGCAAGACCUAAAUUCCAGGCCUGAUUCCACUCAUCAAGCACCUACAUCCCUUUCCCCCCACAGAUGUCAUUUGAGUACCAAUAGAAGGCAUUGUAUUAAGCUCUGCAAAUAGGUGUCAAUCACAUGUAGACUAGCAAAGCUGGUGAACAAACCUUGACUAUCACAAUAAUACUGCUAUUGAGCACCUACUGUAUGCCACUCUCUUUAAAUUAUAGAAUUCCCACAAUGGCCCUGAUCUUAUUUCUCAUUUUAUAGAUGAAGAAACUUAGGCUCAGAAAAUAUUUUACUAGCCCAAGUCAAAGCCGAAGUUUGGACAUGAUUCUCUAGACAACGGGAAGCUAAGAUUUGGAA